rnacentral:lncRNA from 1 species
CCGUUACAAAGUGUACUUCUGAACCAGGCCUGGCUGAAGUUGUUUGUCAGAACGAAGCUGGCUCGUCCCCACUGUAGGAAAGCUGAUUUUCAUGGUCUUCUGGGAUGUACAGUGAACUGCACCUAUUUAUAUGCACUCUUCGGGGCUGGGGUGCCGCUCGUGCCAGGGUACAAGCUUCCCCAGCAUGGGGGCCCCGCUUCCAUCGCUGCUCCCAACCCGAAAGGAACCAGAAAAGCUGGCAGGACAGCAGGGUGCUGUGCGCCCCGCUGCUGCAGGACCCCCCUGUGAGCCCAGCAGAACCCCAGAAGCAGCAGCCAAGCCUCUGCGCCUGCAGCCCCACCCAGGUGCUGCCCGCCCUUCCCUGGGGCCUCUCCUCUCCUCAAGCACUGAGCCCCCCCACGGGGGUACCGGUCGGCCCCUGCUCAGAUCCAUCCCUGAAAAGAUUUCACUCUGCUCCAAAUGCUGACCUUCCAUAUCAGAGCAUGGAACCCUUGAAGCCAGUACUGCCGCUCCCUGAGCAUCUUGGACCCGCCGGGCCACAGUGGACCCGGGGAACCAGCCGAGUAGGUGCUGCCAAAUAGAUGAACAAGUCAAUCAGCAGAGCUGUUCGCUUUCAGGUUCGAGGUGGAGGAGAACUUCCCGGAACACCCCGCUCGGAGUUGUACGUCAGGCUCUGGGCAACCAGCGGGCUGAGCCAAGGGAAACCGUGGGAAGAUCGCUGCAGCGGAAAGACCGCACCGCAAGAGCCCGGUGGCUACGAACCCGAGGACUGGGGAGCGGAGGGCUGAAAGGGGCUCGCUGGGUCCCCAUGGACGAUGGCUGGCGUCUUUACUGUGCAUCCUGUCAAAUGCUUCCGCGCGUGGUUUUCAGAUCGUUGUCCAACGCUCCAAAAGUACACCCGCGAUUUCCAUGUGGAGAAACCGACAUUUGGAAAGCGUGAUGUCCCUGGAAUCAGAGAGCUGGUGGAGGCAGAGAAACCCUUGACAGUCUCCAGGUGCAAGGCCCAGUUGUAAUCCAAGAAGAACUGGACGCAGAGCUGCAGGCUCCCUGGCUUUGCUCUGGCCUCACGCUUACCGCAACAGACAUUGCUAAUGCGGUUUUUAGACAUAAUUGGAAAUGAUAUUAGGAAAUAAAUACCAAAAUAUUAACGUGUCCCGGGGACGCGGUACGAUUGUAAUAAAGUAGUCUCCCUUCUUGUGUGUGUGGGAGGGUACGUUUGUGACAGAAAAAUUAGUACAGAUUUCUUUUUCCUCCAAUUGUUUCAGCCCAACCAAUUCCCUUGCUUAAGCCCG